rnacentral:rRNA from 1 species
UAGGGAAUCUUCCGCAAUGGGCGAAAGCCUGACGGAGCAACGCCGCGUGAGUGAUGAAGGUCUUCGGAUCGUAAAACUCUGUUAUUAGGGAAGAACAAAUGUGUAAGUAACUAUGCACAUCUUGACGGUACCUAAUCAGAAAGCCACGGCUAACUACGUGCCAGCAGCCGCGGUAAUACGUAGGUGGCAAGCGUUAUCCGGAAUUAUUGGGCGUAAAGCGCGCGUAGGCGGUUUUUUAAGUCUGAUGUGAAAGCCCACGGCUCAACCGUGGAGGGUCAUUGGAAACUGGAAAACUUGAGUGCAGAAGAGGAAAGUGGAAUUCCAUGUGUAGCGGUGAAAUGCGCAGAGAUAUGGAGGAACACCAGUGGCGAAGGCGACUUUCUGGUCUGUAACUGACGCUGAUGUACGAAAGCGUGGGGAUCAAACAGG